rnacentral:rRNA from 2 species
AGUCGACGCGUUGGCCCAAUUGAUUGAUGGUGCUUGCACCUGAUUGAUUUUGGUCGCCAACGAGUGGCGGACGGGUGAGUAACACGUAGGUAACCUGCCCAGAAGCGGGGGACAACAUUUGGAAACAGAUGCUAAUACCGCAUAACAGCGUUGUUCGCAUGAACAACGCUUAAAAGAUGGCUUCUCGCUAUCACUUCUGGAUGGACCUGCGGUGCAUUAGCUUGUUGGUGGGGUAACGGCCUACCAAGGCGAUGAUGCAUAGCCGAGUUGAGAGACUGAUCGGCCACAAUGGGACUGAGACACGGCCCAUACUCCUACGGGAGGCAGCAGUAGGGAAUCUUCCACAAUGGGCGCAAGCCUGAUGGAGCAACACCGCGUGAGUGAAGAAGGGUUUCGGCUCGUAAAGCUCUGUUGUUAAAGAAGAACACGUAUGAGAGUAACUGUUCAUACGUUGACGGUAUUUAACCAGAAAGUCACGGCUAACUACGUGCCAGCAGCCGCGGUAAUACGUAGGUGGCAAGCGUUAUCCGGAUUUAUUGGGCGUAAAGAGAGUGCAGGCGGUUUUCUAAGUCUGAUGUGAAAGCCUUCGGCUUAACCGGAGAAGUGCAUCGGAAACUGGAUAACUUGAGUGCAGAAGAGGGUAGUGGAACUCCAUGUGUAGCGGUGGAAUGCGUAGAUAUAUGGAAGAACACCAGUGGCGAAGGCGGCUACCUGGUCUGCAACUGACGCUGAGACUCGAAAGCAUGGGUAGCGAACAGGAUUAGAUACCCUGGUAGUCCAUGCCGUAAACGAUGAGUGCUAGGUGUUGGAGGGUUUCCGCCCUUCAGUGCCGGAGCUAACGCAUUAAGCACUCCGCCUGGGGAGUACGACCGCAAGGUUGAAACUCAAAGGAAUUGACGGGGGCCCGCACAAGCGGUGGAGCAUGUGGUUUAAUUCGAAGCUACGCGAAGAACCUUACCAGGUCUUGACAUCUUGCGCCAACCCUAGAGAUAGGGCGUUUCCUUCGGGAACGCAAUGACAGGUGGUGCAUGGUCGUCGUCAGCUCGUGUCGUGAGAUGUUGGGUUAAGUCCCGCAACGAGCGCAACCCUUGUUACUAGUUGCCAGCAUUAAGUUGGGCACUCUAGUGAGACUGCCGGUGACAAACCGGAGGAAGGUGGGGACGACGUCAGAUCAUCAUGCCCCUUAUGACCUGGGCUACACACGUGCUACAAUGGACGGUACAACGAGUCGCGAACUCGCGAGGGCAAGCAAAUCUCUUAAAACCGUUCUCAGUUCGGACUGCAGGCUGCAACUCGCCUGCACGAAGUCGGAAUCGCUAGUAAUCGCGGAUCAGCAUGCCGCGGUGAAUACGUUCCCGGGCCUUGUACACACCGCCCGUCACACCAUGAGAGUUUGUAACACCCAAAGUCGGUGGGGUAACCU